rnacentral:rRNA from 1 species
UUGCUCUUCAACGAGGAAUUCCUAGUAAGCGUGAGUCAUCAGCUCGCGUUGAUUACGUCCCUGCCCUUUGUACACACCGCCCGUCGCUACUACCGAUUGAAUGGCUUAGUGAGGCCUCCGGAUUGAGUCUGAGGAGCCGGAAACGGUACUUCGGUAUUCGAGAAGCUGGUCAAACUUGGUCAUUUAGAGGAAGUAAAAGUCGUAACAAGGUUUCCGUAGGUGAACCUGCGGAAGGAUCAUUAACGAAUUUCUCAAAGUUGCUUACAGCGUUGUGCGGUCAUUCGCAUAUGUUGAAGGUAGCUCUUGAGCAUUUCACACAUCCCCUGUGCACCUUAGGAGGGUAACUGUUUUAUCUUGAGCGCGUUGUGCUCGAUAGGACGUGUUGCCCUCUCUUUACAAAAUCUUAUGUCUAGAAUGUCUGAUAAAAUUAAACAAAAUAACUUUCAACAACGGAUCUCUUGGCUCUCGCAUCGAUGAAGAACGCAGCGAAAUGCGAUAAGUAAUGUGAAUUGCAGAAUUCAGUGAAUCAUCGAAUCUUUGAACGCACCUUGCGCUCCUUGGUAUUCCGAGGAGCAUGCCUGUUUGAGUGUCAUGAUAAUCUCAAAUCAACAUUUUAGUUAAUCUAAUUUGUUGACUUGGACUUGGAGGUUGUGCUGAUUUUAUUAUUGGCUCCUCUUAAAUGCAUUAGCUGGAUUACUAUCAGUAAUAGUCCAUGGUGUUGUAAUCUCGGCGCUGUGACUUAACUAAUACAAUCUGCUUCUAAAAUAGUUGCCUUUGGCAAUAUUUGCAAACUUGACCUCAAAUCAGGUAGGACUACCCGCUGAACUUAAGCAUAUCAAUAAGCGGAGGA